rnacentral:rRNA from 1 species
UACAGAGGGGGCAAGCGUUGUUCGGAAUUACUGGGCGUAAAGGGCGCGUAGGCGGCCUGUUAAGUCAGACGUGAAAUCCCUCGGCUCAACCGGGGAACUGCGUCUGAUACUGGCGGGCUUGAAUUCGGGAGAGGGAUGUGGAAUUCCAGGUGUAGCGGUGAAAUGCGUAGAUAUCUGGAGGAAUACCGGUGGCGAAGGCGGCAUCCUGGACCGGCAUUGACGCUGAUGAGCGAAAGCUAGGGGAGCCAAACGGG